UAUGGUGACUAUUGCGGUGGGGUCCACCUCUUCCCAUUCCGAACAGAGAAGUUAAGCCCACCAGCGCAGAUGAUACUUGGGUAAAACCUGGGAAAGUAUGUCGUUGCCGUAA
rfam:Bacteroidetes bacterium TKL13-3, complete genome.